GGGCCGGUAGCUCAGUCAGGCAGAGCGUCUGGCUUUUAACCAGAUGGGCGGGGGUUCAAAUCCCUCUCGGCCCG
rnacentral:tRNA from 1 species